rnacentral:lncRNA from 1 species
CAGUAUUCAAUCAAAGAUUGCAUAAGGAAGUAUCAUAAAUAUAAAUACAACUAAGUUAUUACAAUCAUUCAACUCACAUAUAUUCACAUAUUACAUCUUUCAUUCUUUUUAGCUUCCAAAUACAAUCUAGCUUUAACAAUAUUAUUACAACUUGAUUCUUUUCAUUUUCUUACAUCCCUAAGUAACCGACUUAGGGUACCGCUAUCUCUGGUCUCGGUGGUAGGGCGCUAACUACGGAGCUACGCCCUCGCUUCGCGUCGCCGCAGCCGCUUACGUGUGAACCUGUAACACCCCAACACAACGUGGGGUGAGAACCAACUCCAUAGUUCCCAGUGGGUACGGCCACCCAAGGGAAAAGCUCAAC